GCCCCUCCGCUCGCGGCCGCUCAGGCUGGGUCGGCGCGGGAGAGCCGGUGGCGGGCACUGGGCCCUCGCGGGGCGCUGUCGCGUGACCUGCGCCGCAGCAGGGACGGGAGCCUGCGGCGGGCUGCGUGCGCGUGCGGCAGGUUGAAGCCCGCUGCUCUUUCCCCCGGGGCCUGCCCUGCUCUGCGCGAUCGAGGGGUGUGCCUCAAAAAAAGGGGUGGGGGGCCGUCCCCUGCCCGGCACUGGACCCCUCCUACUAGCAGUCACGAAGAGCGAGCGUGGCUCAGAACGUUCCCAGGGAGAGGGGGGGUUUUGCAGGAGCCUCUGGGGGCUUUGUGCAAUUUCCUGUUGAAUUAUAAAUAAACGUGUGGCUUUUAAACAAUGUUCAGUGGGAAUGGAGCUCCUAGGUUAUGUAUGCUGAGGCUCAGGGACAAAAGCUAUGGGAAAAGCACUGCACAGCUGGGGCAGAGGCCGCCUUUCGGAAUUGCUCCCUGGCUUGGCUGUCUCCCGCUUCGUGCUUUGGAGCAACACGUUAUCCUGGAUACGUACAGAUAAAUAGGGGUUCUUCCUUCAUCCAUUGCCUUAGUGCCUGUCAGCAUCUCUGCUAAAACCUAGAGAACAUUUUUAUAGAAUACAGUCGGAGACCGGAAUGUCCAAGUUUUGGUGUGAAGUUUUCAUCCAGCAAAACAUUGGAGCUGCAUAAAGUAAGACAAAUACCAAUAGUGAUCAAUCCAUUCACACCGGAAUGUAGAGUCUUAUGGACUCCAGGAUGAGAGUCCUAUAUGGAUAUCCCCUGAAGUUAGAAAAUUCACAUCCAGGAUUCCUCUCAGCCCUGUCUGUGAUAUGUUGACAUCCCUACUGAGUUCAUUUUCUACUCCACAAUUUCUCUUCCAUGACAACAAAAUAAACACAGGUUGUGUGAAAUUGUGACUGCUCUUCUACAUGAUCAGUCCCUAGGUUUUUCACAAUUCAGUUUUGGUAGUUUUGCUGUUGUGAGAAAUUUUGCACAAUGGGGGAAUUUGCAUUGAACAAAGUUGAAAAUGUGAAUUUUGUUGUACGUACAGACUCUGCUUACAAAAAAGGCUUAGUUUGGAUUGAAAUGUCGCUCAUUUUUGGGAGAAGUUUCACUCCUUUGCCUCAAAAAUGGGUCCUCCUUCACUGAAAAAUGUCCUAUUUCCAAGUGAAACAUUCUUAAACUUCUUGUGACUUUUUUGUGAAAGGGCAAUUUUAGAGUUCACAAGAAAAUGUAAAUAAGCUCAAUUGUGGAGUGAUUUCAGUUACAUUGCUAGAGUUUCACACAGCUAUAAAAUAAACAUUUUAACCAUCUAC